GAUGAACGCUAGCUACAGGCUUAACACAUGCAAGUCGAGGGACCGGCGCACGGGUGAGUAACACGUAUCCCACCUGCCCUUUACUCGGGGAUAGCCUUUCGAAAGAAAGAUUAAUACCCGAUAUAAAGGAUGGGGAUGCGUUCCAUUAGGUUGUUGGUGAGGUAACGGCCCACCAAGCCUUCGAUGGCGAGUGGUUCUGAGAGGAAGGUCCACCACAUGGGAACUGAGACACGGUCGAAACUCGUACGUGAGGCAGCAGUGAGGAAUAUUGGUGAAUGGGCGCUAGUCUGAACCAGCCAAGUAGCGUGAAGGAUGAAGGCUUAUGGGUCGUAAACUUCUUUUAUAUAAGAAUAUGUAUUAUAUGAAUAAGGAUCGGCUAACUCCGUGCCAGCAGCCGCGGUAAUAC
rnacentral:rRNA from 1 species